rnacentral:rRNA from 1 species
UACGAAGGGGGCUAGCGUUGCUCGGAAUUACUGGGCGUAAAGCGCACGUAGGCGGUCUUUUAAGUCGGGGGUGAAAUCCUGGAGCUCAACGUCCAGAACUGCCUUCGAUACUGGAAGACUUGAGUCCGGGAGAGGUGAGUGGAACUGCGAGUGUAGAGGUGAAAUUCGUAGAUAUUCGCAAGAACACCAGUGGCCGAAGGCGGACUCACUGGCCCGGUACUGACGCUGAGGUG